UUCCGUAGGUGAACCUGCGGAAGGAUCAUUAAUGAGUUUUGAAAACAGAAGUCUGUUGCUGGUACGGAAACGUUACAUUGUGCACGGCUUCUGUGCUCAAUCCAUUUCAACCUCCUGUGCACCUUAUCGAAGUUAAUAGUCUCUUUUCUUUUGCUGGCCCUUAUCAGUGCAUGUGCACGCUUGGCUAGUUGUUUCUUAAAGGCGCACUUGUGCACCUUGUUGUUAGUAGCUUUGAAACGGUAAAGUUUUGAGUCGAGUGUCCGAUCUUGGCCGGUAAGGGGAAGAUAGUCGAAAGUCUUUGUCUUUUCAUAAUCACUUUGUAUGUCUAUGUAUAAGAAUGUUUUCUAAGGCAUUUCUUUGAUGGGCUUUAAAUCAUAUACAACUUUCAACAACGGAUCUCUUGGCUCUCGCAUCGAUGAAGAACGCAGCGAAAUGCGAUAAGUAAUGUGAAUUGCAGAAUUCAGUGAAUCAUCGAAUCUUUGAACGCACCUUGCGCUCCUUGGUAUUCCGAGGGGCAUGCCUGUUUGAGUGUCAUGUUUAUUCUCAAACCCUUUGUUACUUUGUUGACUCUGUUUCAAAGUGUUUGGAUUUGGAGGGUUUGCUGGCAUUUAAUGUGUAGUUGAUUGUAGACUUUGUCGGCUCUUCUUAAAUUCAUUAGCUGGGACCUUUGGUUCGCAUUUUAGCCCCUGGUGUGAUAGUAUAGUGUUCAUCGGCGUGGCUUAGCUUACGAUGAUUGUGUGGUUCUAAUUGUCCUUUCUGACAAGGUCACUUUUGACCUGUCUGUUGAUCAUUUUGACCUCAAAUCAGGUAGGAUUACCCGCUGAACUUAAGCAUAUCAAUAAGCGGAGGAAAAGAAGCUAGACAAGGAUUCCCCUAGUAACUGCGAGUGAAGCGGGAAA
rnacentral:rRNA from 1 species